rnacentral:rRNA from 1 species
GACGAACCGUGCGAACGUUAUUCGGAAUCACUGGGCUUAAAGCGCGUGUAGGCGGGAGGGCACGUCCGUCGCUGAAAUCCCCCGGCUCAACCGGGGAACGGGCACGGAUACGACCUUCCUGGAGGGGCGUAGGGGGACCUGGAACUUCCGGUGGAGCGGUGAAAUGCGUAGAGAUCGGGAGGAACACCCGCGGCGAAGGCGGCCACCUGGACCAGACCUGACGCUGAGGCGCGAAGGCCGGGGGAGCGAACGGG